rnacentral:tmRNA from 1 species
CAGAACUGGCUGUGAGUUUUCCCUGCCCGUCGGGUAGCCCGCAGUGAGAUUAAUGACGGAAUAAGCAUGUAGACCUCGUGGCAGAGGACUUGCGGACGCGAGUUCGAUUCUCGCCACCUCCACCA